CUGAAGCUGACUCUCGGCGAUUCCAUGACCCCUCACCCUAACUUUCCACUUUCUUCCUGCACUGCGAUUGAAGUGCCCGUAAAUCACCCCCUAGGCCAGCCCUUCCCGGACAUGAAUAACAUUUGCGUUCUCGCUGCACAACACAAUUUUACAACGAUGCCAAUUUAUUAUUAUUUUUUGGCAGUCUAGACUUUUGUUCUUUCUUCUUUUCUCUUUCAAGGCCUUGUAUGACUCUAAGCUUUGGCAGCGAUUGCUGUUUUGAAGCACCCACUCUUUGCAUAGCCAGUCACUGGUUUGUUCAGCGAGCUGUCCAGUCGCAAGUGGAGAUGCUGGCAAAGCAGCAACAAGAUCUGCUGACCUUGUCUCCCCAGGCGUGAGGAGGGCGCUCGGCACUGGGCCUGCAGGGCCCGGAUCGAUGCAGCACCCACCUGGCACCUGCUGGGGGCAUGAGUUUCAACGUGGAGGAGCAUUGCGCCCCUGGGAGGAGGCAGCUGCCUGGCUUUCCAGAAAGGCCAAAUGGAAGCAGGAUAUCAGAGCGAGAUGUGGAGGCGAUGCGUGAAGUCUCACACAGGGUGUGAUGGUGCCAGUUCCUGCAGUUAUGAGCACAGAAGACCGAGUACAGACCACCAGCAGCCCGCAAGUUUGGGCCGUGGGACCCCUACUGCAUCCGAGUGAAGUCCACAGCCUCGGGGGCACCAGGGCGGGCUUGGCGCACGGGACGCCCCACAGCCGCCAGCUCAGAGUGUGUGCCCGGGCUGCUCCGGCCCCGUGGCUUCCCUUGAGUCAGACCUGAAGAAAGGGUCCCUGACAGACCCUCCCUCUAGGCCACAAACACCUGGGUAGCACUUCCGCUCAGACCUCCAGGACCCGGAAGCCUUGGCCCACGGUGUAGAAUAUCAGGUCAACUGGAGCAGGUUCUGCUGAGGGUUAGAAUUAAAUGAGAGCACAUCUUGCUGCAGAACAACGGACCGGACGGAGAGCUCUGCCGACCUUUCCCCAGGAGCACAGUGCCCUGCUUGGGAAGUGGGGUGCAGGGCCCCCCCAGCCUGGGACCCAGGCCUGACCCUGCCAUCCAGGCCGUGGCCACAGCCUCCCGGCUCCUGCCCGCACACCUCUGGACACAGUUGGUCCUCGUGCACCCACGGGCUGCUUUUGUCCAGAAAGAGUGAAGGCUUCCUCAGUGCCGUUCGGGGGCGGGUGGGCAGAAAGAGGGGCCGUGCGGCCGGGCGAAGCGGCUCUCUGCGGGCGGGGACCCGGGUCUUGCCUGCUCCAGGCCGUCCCAAGAAAGGGCAACUGGCCCUUGGCGACGCUGGGACUUGAUUUAUCGUCACAGUCCUGGCGGCAUCUGAGUCCAAUUACCUGGGCAGAGGAGAGUUCAGGAGGUGGCAACUCAGCUAGCCGUUCGGGGAUGCGCUUUACCAGGAGCAGAUGGGAAAAUAAAACACUUUAGUUUAUGGCUAUUUUUCUGUGCGGGGGGAGGAGAGAGAACAAAAAGAGUUGCCAAAUUGACCCUUGUCAAGCACUAAUUAAAUAUUAUUCAUGAUUAAUUUUGAUGUUGAUGUGUUCAGUGUUUUAACAGUGUCAUAAAUAUCAGAAGGAAUGAAGUAACUCGCUUUGUGUAGCUACAAUAAAUCACGC
ensembl:lncRNA